rnacentral:RNase_P_RNA from 1 species
GAGAGGGGGCCGGGGGUUACGGCUUGAAGCUGGGGAAGGUCCGCCCACGCCCCCAGCGCCGCCCCUCCGCAAGGAGGCACCCUGAGAGGGGUGGGAAGGCCCACAGAAACGGCACGUCCUCAGGGGGAUGACGAUGAUGCCGGUGAGGCUGAGAAUCCUUGGGGGAGCGGUGAAACGGGGCCCCGGCGGCGUGCAAGCCAAUUCCCGCGAUGAGGAGCUGGGGCGAGCG